CGGGCCGGGCCGGGCCCAGUCCCCUCCCGGGGCGGCUUUCGAGGCAGCGGCCCGAGCCCGGUGGGGCUGCCCCAGCGCCCUGAAGGGCGGGGGCGCGGCAGCUGGCGGCCCGGCCCGGUGACGGGUGUCGGGUCGGUUCCGGGCCCAGCGGGAGGGCGGAAGGCUGGACUCGAGAGAAAACGACCAGGGCCGCAGCGGCAGCGUUUGCAGCCGAGCGCCAGGCCAGGGCUGGCCGGGGCUUUCCGGUUCCACAGAGCGUCACGGGUUUUCAAGCAGCGCGGUGCUACCUCCAGACUUCUUGCUGAGUGUUUUGAGAUCCUAUAAGUAUUUAGGCCUGGUAAAACUGUGACUCUGUCUCUCCUUCAGGGAUUCCUUUGCGGAAAACACGGAGCCCUGCAGGCGGGUUGGCGUUAUGGAAGGGCCCCAGAGAGCUAAACAAAUUGCCAAGGUUAUAACCUGUGAUAUGAGCAAAUAAGAAUCACAGAAUCCCAGAACCCUAGGGGUUGGAAGGGACCUGGAAAGAUCAUCCCGUCCAGCCCCACCUUGUGUGCUCAGCCUGAGUUUAUAACAGCACGACUGAAACAGAGUGAAGUUAGAGAAGGGGAAGAGUUAAAACAGAGGCUGUCCCUAGAGAGAAACCACCUCAGUUCAUCUCGACGGCCCAGCCAGCAGGAGUUACCUACAUGAGAAGUUUUUCCACUAACAGGCUGGAUGGGAGGGGUGGACGAGCUGAUGAGAACCUGUCACUGCUGACAAAGCAAAGGGAGGGUCAGCUGCUCUGUAAGGGAGUAGGCUGACACGAGCUGACUAGAGAGAUACUGCAGGCUGUGGGACAUCGUGCUCAGCCAGAAAGCUGGGGGAGAGGAGGUUUUGCAAAGUUGCCGUUGCUUGCAGACUGGCUGGGCAUCAGCCUGCUGGUGAGAGGUGCAUAUACUCUAUAAUUGCAUACAGAAGGAAACCCCAGGUUGAUCAAAGGGCAAGAGGCUUCUGCAUUUGCAGUCAGUAACAAGUGCAUGGAGGUUCCCGGUGUCUCCGGCCACGACGGGCCCAGCAGGUGCACAGAGGCAGAGCUGCAAGCAAGAACAGUGGUACAAUGUAGACCUUACUGUUUUGAAAACACAGAGGGGGGGGAGUAUGAAACUAUUAAGGAAAUAUGUACGAAAUUCGUUGAGGACUACAGAUCCAUGGCAAAACCCAAGGAAUUCAGUCAUGAAGAACUUUUCCCCCCGUGGGGUGUUACGAUCCGCUCCGCUUUGGCACAACUCUGGGUAAAACCUUCACCUUCCAGCCUCCAGAACAGCUGGGUUACUUUUUUUAUGUCAUCCAGAAACAUGCCCUCUGUCACCCUUUCUCCUAGACCACCUUUCAGAAGUGCUUCCUGACCUUUGUUUCAAGGUUUUCUGUUUGAAAUGCUGGCACAAGCUGAGCUGUGGCCCAGUCAACAGCUCCUGCGAGGGACGUACAUGACGCUGUCACGUAAAGCAGCAUCAAUUAUUUCAACUGCAAACCAGGUAAUGGUCCAUUCAAUCUGCUACAUUCCUCUGUGUGGUGAGAAAGCUUUUUAUUUCCUGCAUCGGAGGAAACAGAGCAGUGUGCAGAAAGCCACAGAAAGAGCCAUUUUGCUCUUAUCACACCCAUCUUGCUCAGUGUCUGACUUUCAGAUUUGUAUUUCUGUCCGUGUUUCUCCUGGCUUCAGUUUCAGAGUUUUAAAAUUUUGAAUGUUCACAUUGACAAAUACCCAGGAGCUCAAAUCCCAAUUUAUUAAUGCCUCAAAUCUUAUUAUUUUUUAACAAAUCUCAUUAGAUUAGGACCUAACUGGUGAUUUGUUAUGUUUAGGCUUAUUAAAACGGAUAAUAAUACAACCAAUGUAAAUCCCUUCUUUAUAUAAACAAGCAAUUAGAAACAAUGUAAGCAGUUACAAGCUAUAUAAAUAUUUUUUCAUUACUUUUGUGAUAAAUAUGAUUAAAUUUUCCCUGCAGAGGGUUGAUUAUAAAUCAAUCACAAUCAGAUGUCUCUGCAGAAGCAUAAAGAGGAGACAGCCUGGCUUUCCUCACUCAAGCCAAUACAGGAUGAGCAUGUUUUACCUCCAAGACAGACUUAAUGGAAACAGAAGGAAUAAAAUGUUAAACUGAA